GACAGAGGGGGCAAGCGUUGCUCGGAAUCACUGGGCGUAAAGGGCGCGUAGGCGGGAUGGCAAGUCGGUCGUGAAAUCCUUCGGCUCAACCGAAGAACGUCGGCCGAUACUGCCGUUCUUGAGGGAUGCAGAGGAGACUGGAAUUCCCGGUGUAGCGGUGAAAUGUGUAGAGAUCGGGAGGAACACCGGUGGCGAAGGCGGGUCUCUGGGCAUCUCCUGACGCUGAGGCGCGAAAGCGUGGGGAGCAAACGGG
rnacentral:rRNA from 1 species